rnacentral:rRNA from 1 species
GAUGAACGCUGACAGAAUGCUUAACACAUGCAAGUCUACUUGAAUUUGGGUUUUUUAACUUAGAUUUGGGUGGCGGACGGGUGAGUAACGCGUAAAGAACUUGCCUCACAGCUAGGGACAACAUUUGGAAACGAAUGCUAAUACCUGAUAUUAUGAUUAUAAGGCAUCUUAGAAUUAUGAAAGCUAUAUGCGCUGUGAGAGAGCUUUGCGUCCCACUAGCUAGUUGGAGAGGUAACGGCUCACCAAGGCGAUGAUGGGUAGCCGGCCUGAGAGGGUGAACGGCCACAAGGGGACUGAGACACGGCCCUUACUCCUACGGGAGGCAGCAGUGGGGAAUAUUGGACAAUGGACCAAGAGUCUGAUCCAGCAAUUCUGUGUGCACGAUGACGUUUUUCGGAAUGUAAAGUGCUUUCAGUUGGGAAGAAAAAAAUGACGGUACCAACAGAAGAAGUGACGGCUAAAUACGUG